AGUAGGGUUACUACCUUCCGACCGGUUGGGUGUUUGUUGACAUUUGAAAACACCGACCAGAUUGAUCGAGUCGGCAAUUCACGUGGUGCCAUUGACCACACCAGGACAUGUUUACAGGACAGCCGUGCCUCAUCAGAACAUCGACUGCAACUCUGAAAAGCGAGAAUAAUCCCGAAAAGUGUCCAGAUCCAGAUCAACGCCAUUGUCGACGAUCCGUGCUACUGGAGGGUGUAAGAGGAGCUUCCAAGACCUCUAUACCGGGACCCCUGCAUUCCGAGGCCAUCUACAGUGUUUUCGUCAGGAUCCGCUGCCUUUUUUGUCGGGAAUUGUCCUUUGCGGCGCUGUCGAAACGGCCCAGGAACAGUGCAUUGCUAUAAUUUUGUGUCUUUCUUUUGAAUUGUAUACCGCGUUGCGUAUGUUGUAUCCUUCACCAAUUUCUGUUAAUAAAAUUAUAUUCUCCAC